CUUUCUCCUGCAGCUCUUGUCUGGAGCUUUGUAACAGUACGCUAUUGAACUGGUUCUAAUGGCAUGGAUAUGCACUCAAUCACGUUACUUCCUUGGGAAAAGGGUCAAAUUUACCCUCCAACUAUCGUUUAUAGUUUAGAUUUGCCCUCCGUGAGAGUUUUGGUUCACAUUACCCCUCCCAUUAAGAAACUUGUGACAUUUACUCUUAUCACUAACGGAUUGCUGACUAGGAGCCCUUAACUAUCCACAUAGACGCCAUGUGUAUAUAUAAUUUUUCUUUUACUUUACAUCAUACCAAUGAAAUUUUGUCAUGUAAUUUUCUUUUUCUAUUAAAAAAAUUUACAAUACCUGAUCUUCUUCUCCAUCAAACCACCACUUCCCCUUCUUCUUCUCCGCCAUCCCCGCCCCGCCGUCCACCGCCGCCGGUUAAAUUACUAAAAAUUAACCCAUCACUUUCCCACUUUUUUACCCAAACCAUUACUUCUCCAUCUAGCUGCCACCAACAAGAAACUUGGCUCAGCAGCAAGGAAACAGCUCUAGACUCAACAACAUAGGGAAGACCCAUUUGUAAUCCAACAGUAACUACAAACCCCAUCAAAGUACUAGUUGGGAACAGCUACAAAUAUCAACAGAACUCCACUUCACCAAUUGAAAAAAAAAAAAAAAGUGAAAUUAAACAGUAACUACAAACUCCAGAUGCAAAAAAAAUCAAGCUUUAUUACUUUUAGAGACCCGUAUUUGUUUUCUCUAAAUUUUUAGCAACUAGUUAUCAAAAUAAACAAGACCCAUUUGAAUUUCAAAAAAAUAAAAAUAAACAAGACCCAUUUGGAAUUUAACAGUAACUACAAACAAGGUCUGGUUGGGUGGGAAUUUAAUUUUUAGUAAUUUAACCGGCGGCGGUGGAGGGCAGUGGACAGCGGUGACAGUGGCGGUGAAGAAGAAGGUGAAGUGGUUUGAUGGAAAAGAAGAUUAGGUAUUGUAAUUUUUUUUUUUUAAUAGAAAAAGAAAAUUACAUGGCAAAAUUUCAUUGGUAUGAUAUAAAGUAAAAGAAAAAUUAUAUAUACACAUGGCAUCUAUGUGGUAGAUAAGGGCUCCUAGUCAGCAAUCCGUUAGUGAUAAGGGUAAAUGUAACAAGUUUCACAAAGGGAGGGGUAAAUAUGAACCAAAACUCUAACGGAGGGCAAAUAUAAACUAUAAACAAUAGUUGGAGGGUAAAUUUGACCCUUUUCCCUACUUCCUAUCACUCUGCAAUUUAAAACUGAUGGUAGGUCUAGGAGCAGAUAGAUCAUGCACAAAACUUAAAAAUUGCAAUGUAGUGUGUUUCAAAUUGCAAGCGGGCUCAUUCGUCCUUGGAUCUUUUUGGGUUCGGCAGAACCCUAACGUUGGCUCAAACCCUUGUAUUUUUGUG